UACACCACGGGUAACCUCAUCCGACUGGGACUGUCUGCCCUAAUUACGGUUCUUAUGGUGGCUUUCCUGGUGGAAGCCUGGUGGAGCCAGAGGAGGUCUCCACGUGGGUCCAGCAAUUAAAGUGCCAAUCGUUGUGGAAGAAGCAGAGCAGCAGCCAGCCCAGGACAAGACGCUGACUUCCUUCUUCCUGUGCGCUUCACCGGGCCCGAUGGCAGGACUGAGCGGACUCACCUAACACACUUUGGAUGACUUGGCAAAUACUUAAAACUUCAGCUUCUGACCGGG